ACUUGAUCUAUCUUCGAAAACUGGGAUCUACAUUGUCCGGCAAAUCCAGCAGCAAAACAACAGCCAAGAAUCAAGAAAAUGGCCCAUCUCACGAAGCUCUACCUUUUAGCACUUGCAUUUAUCCUCCUAUCAAAUCAAAGUGCUCGGUGCAUUACUGCAUCCUCACUUCAUCAAGGUGAUAAGCAAAAUAGGUGGUUUUUGAGUUGCGGAAAUGGGUACAGAAAGCUGGGGCAUCUGAACUGUGGAAAUGCAGGUGAAUCCACAAACAUGAGGAAAACUCCUUGGUCUGAAAGCCUUAAAACAGCGUUAUCGCCACCACCAGCACCGGUCAUGAGAGGUGGAUCGCCUUCGGAAGAUAUCGCACCACCCCCUCCAAACAAAUAAUGAUGAAUUUAAUGGCCAAAAAAUGUUCCAUAUCGAUUGAUCGUGUUUUCAUCUUUAUUGAUUAUAGGACAAUGCAAUUGGAUGUUCUUGAGUGUUGUAAAUUUUAUCAAGUGUUUUUAUUUUAAGAAUGCAAUCGACUUGGCUCUUUGUAUCA